AUAUCUUCUCGGCUUUUUAGCUAAGAUCAUGUUUAUAAACUGUUCUUAUCAGAGUAACUCCUGAUAUUGCCUUCGGGCAAAGGAAUACAAAUGAUCGCACUAGGUUGUUUCCCUGGAGUUCCACCUUUCCAGGGGAGCAACU
rnacentral:snRNA from 13 species